rnacentral:lncRNA from 1 species
AGGAUUCCGGACCUGUAGCCCAGGGACAGGGCCACCUGCACAACCAAGUCAGGCUGUGUCCUCAUGUCAGGUCUGGGGACAGGUUGCCAAGAAGAGGAACUGGACUUAUUCUGGGCAACUUGGGUUGGGAUUCUCGCUCCAUUAUACCGCUGGCCAGAGAAUUUGGUCAGCAACAAGAACUACAAGCUGCUGCUGGAAUCUGUGACAAUGAUAAUUUGAUGCCACGCCCAGCCCUUGUCAUUCCUGCUACUUGCUGACCAGUCUCUGUCCUUCUGCUGUAUAGUCGGCUCUUCAACUCGGCCCCAGGAAAAGGAGCACAUCACCAGCCUGUCCCAUCCCACCAAGUGCACCCGAGCCGAUUGCGACAGUCUCCCUGCUUCCCUCAAGAGUCCUGUAUACAGAGGGAACCUUUGUGCCAUAGUCACUGGCUCCUCCUGACUGUCCUCUGGCCUUACCUAUCUGGCAUCUGGGCCCCAACUCUGAGCUGGGACCCUUCAGCCUUGGCUGCACGGCGGGAAAUUCUGAGUUGAAGACGUUCCUGCUUGGCCUCACACACUGCUCACAAAGCCUGACCAGAUGGCACACAGACUGCGGCUAUAGCCUGCCUCGGUUGCUUACCCCAGCCUGGCCACUGUCUGACACUGGCAGGUUCCUCUGUGGCCCCUGUUUUCUCAUGUGUUUCUCAAUAUUUUCUCAUUUCUCAUCCCAUCCAUCCUGGGCAGCGCUGCUCUGAUAACAGGGGAAACUCCACCGCUCGGAAGGCAAAGGGCUGUUCUGAACGCAUGCUAAUCAGAAGGCUAGCUGUUGCUGAGGCCAUCAGCUAUCCUCCCUCCUUCUUAGGCAAGGAAGUCUCUCCUGGGACAACUGGCUGCUGGAGAAACCUCUGUAAGUUCAGCAGAUGAGAACUGAGCCUGGGAAAGCCACUCAAAUGCUUAACCCCCUCAAUUCUCCACACCUGGGGGGGGGGAUCUGGCAACUGCACCCCAGCACCAGGGAGCCCCACCCCACCAUGAACACUAGUAAACCUCACUGUGCUCCAAAGUGGUUUUGCAGACACAGGCUCAAAUAAACUCUCCUCGGUUGGCA